CACACACACACACACACGUGUACACCUGUUUUGAUAACCUUGAACUCCCUCUUCUCCUGUCUCCACCUUCCAAGUCUCAGAAUUACAGGUUCGUGCCACUAUGAUAAACUCAAGGCCAUCAUUUUCCCAGUUAAAAAUUGACCCAAGCCUCCCCUUGCUUUUCAGACCUAGAGACCAGGACAAAUAAGAGUCCUAGGAGGCCAGCCCUGAACAGUUGGACACCUGAAGUGAAGUUCUUUUUUUUUCUUAGAUAAUUUUGAAGCCACAGGAAUAUAUAUGGUUCAAAUGUCUGACCAGAGCAUGAGAAACAACUUUAAAAUGAAGACCAAGCUUAAGGGAGCUUCAAGGACUCCCUGAAACUAAGCCAGUGAUUCUUCAUCUGCUGGUUGAGACCCCACAGGGGUUGAAUAUCAGAUAUUUACAUUACAAUUCCUAACAGUAGCAAAAUUCAAGUUAUGAAUUCAAGUAUCAUAACUUGAAUUAUCAACAAGAUAAUUUUAUGGCUGGGGGUCACCACAGCAUGAAGAACUGUGUUAAAGGGUCACAGCAUUAGGAAGGUUGGGAACCACUGGACUAAGCUGAGGGCUGCAGUGAGGAGGAUGUCAAGAGAAACAGCUGUGGAGACCUAUGUGAAGUCCAGCCAGCAGAGGAUUGUGGGUAAAACCAAGGUAGGGUGCUCAAUGCUGACUGCACCCUCCUGGGGCUCCAGCCAUGUACCCUAGUCAACUAUGGACUAGGAGGAGUUGAGAGCUAGGAACAACCAGAGGAAUUGCUGAGUGCUGCACAUUCUAGGGUACGGGGAGGACCAUGGGUUCAGGAUGUACAAGAAUAUAGUUCAUUUGCUCACUUGUUGAGGCUGACUGUAUGGAAAUGAUGGCCACAGCGAGGGGAGGUGGGAUGAUGGUGAUGGCAGUAGGUUCACAGGAGAUCUACAGAUUGAAUGUUUCCUCCCACAGAACCAAACUCUGACCUGUGCUGGGCAAACACUUCUCUGACCACAGAGGGUGAGGUGCAGUAUAAGUAACAUUUCCACCACAUCCUGGGUGGUGAAGGAUUGUGACGUCAUGUAGCUUGGAUGCUUCUAAGGAAAAAAAAAAGUUAAUCAGUAAGGGGUCCAAGCUAAAGACACCAGAAUGAUGAACUCAGCCUAUAGCCCCAGCAUUCCAGAGGCACAGGCAGGAGACCCACAUGUUUGAGCAAGUUUGAGGCCAGCCUGGGGUACAGCGCAAGACCGUCUCAAAACAAGAAAAAGAGCGAUGAGCUCAGCCUUUAAGUAAUCGUUUAAUUCGUGAAAGCAGUCAGUUGCUUAUCAUAAGCUGCUGUGGGUUUUUGACUCUGCCUUAUACUUAUGAAUCUGCGUUAGAUAUGGGACACAAAUAUUUUUUUUGGGGAAAGAUCUCUCUGUAUACGUAUAUACAUAUACAUAUACCAGACUGGCCUGGAACUCACUAGGUAGCACAGGCUGGCCAUGAUCUCAUGCGGUCCUCCUGCUUCAGCCUCUCAAGUGCUAGGAUUAGAGACACGACACAGCACACCCAUUGCCACCCUCAACCUUGCUUCUCCUGCACCUGUGGCUUCCCUAGUUCCGCCAUCUCCACACAAGACACGGUCUCAGCUUGAGUCGUGCUUGUCAAGACUCCGUGGCAUCAGCCUCUGUGGCACACGGCAUGGUUGGGAUAACUGGAGAGGUUGCCAGGAGGCUCACCUCUGAGGGAAGAGCUUGCUCUGCAGAUCUGCUCUGGCGAGAAGUCGCCAGCUACCCAGCAACACAACAUCACACCUCCUCUCACUGUGGAAACCAUUUCCCCGGUGAGUAAGCCGAUGAACCAUUCUUGCGAACUGCCUGAAACUUUGUGGUGACCCAAGGCUCUCCUGGUCCAUGCAGUGUAGGUGCCAGUAACAUGGUUAAAAGUCCCUCUUGGUCUUCCCAGUGUUUCAGUUUCCAAAGCCCCAGAGUGUUUAUCAAGAGAGAUGAUGUCUUAGAUCCAGGAGGCAUGUUCUUCACUGGAACCCACUUCUCUUUCAUUUGCUCUGCCAUCUGUCACCCUAUCCUUCAUGUCUGUGUCUGGCUGUGCCUGGGACCACAAUGCCACAGGAUGUGCUUGACACCCUCUAAGUAGGGAACCCCAGGAACUUCUAGAUCACUUCCCAGAGGAUUCUCCUUUGAGAAAGGUUUUAGCAAUUCUCUUCUCUCUGGGAGGCACGGGGAGUGAGAGUCCUCGUUUCUGGAUGGGAAAAGGAGGCCUAGCAAAUUUGGUAAGAAGUAGAACAUUGGGUCCAACUAGCUCCUAGCUUUGUGGCAGAUCCUCGACUUUCCUGUGAGCUACAGGUGGCAUUUCUCAAUGAGAAGCAGAAAUAAUUUUGAUCAAAAAACUAAAUUCCCUGUAGAGAGAUGUAGAAUCUCAAACUAAAAACAAGGAACACCCAAAGAAAGGAAAAUACACAAAUCUAAUCAAAAUGUCAGGGGAAAGAUGUCAAUUUCCUUUGUCCUCACCAUGAGCGCUGUCUACACACACUUCUGCCUGUUCCUCAGGGCAAGGGCACAGAGUGGCUAGCUGGCCUUUUCUUCUGCACAGCUCCUUAGGUUUUUCUCUUCUGUCUCUCACAGAGAACAUCCCUAACCAACCCGCCUGCUGCUUCUUGAUGAUCUCAUGGAAGAUCCCACAGAGAUUGUGAAUGGCUAUCAUAUGACCAGGAAGCUGGUGGCACUGAGAGGGACUCUCUCCUAGUACUUGGUUCUCUAUGACUCAUCAGGAAGGCUCCUGGGUGCUCAGACCUGAUCUAGGGCCUGCAUAGUCCCUGGGCACUGUGAAGACAGGGAGUGCCAGAAGGAAGCUGGAUUUCCAAAGACCUUGUAGAUACUCAGAGGGAAAGGACCCAGCAGCUGCCAUAACAGGCUGUCAGUCUUCUCUCAGAGAUCAGGCCUCAAUUUCAGUUUCCUGAGAAUUGAACAAGCAGUUUCUGGGAGGACCAUGAACAAAAGACAUAGUCCUUGCAGUAGCUCCCUUUCUGCAUGUACUCUGACCGCUCAAGGUUCAGCCAGUUGUUUACUGUCUGGGACCCCUCACCAACUUAGAGCUACAUGCAUGAGUCAAGGACAGAGCCUAGGCCACUGAGUCAGCCUCCAUAGUCAGUACAUGCUAGGCCAGCCAACCUCCAUGGCAGCUCAAGGAAAAAGCCUGGGACUUGUCCAGGCCUGCCCAAAAGUGGUAACUGUAACCCCCAAUUAACCCUAGCUAAUUAAAAGUUAAUAACAUGAUUGCCACUCGAAUAAACUAAUCCUGAGUCUGUUCCUAUGUAGUCUGUAGACCCCAAGCACCCUUGCUUUAAAAACCCUGCCCGAUUGCUAUUUGGAAAGUACCAAGUUAACUCAUAAUACAGAGUCUUUGCUUUUGCAUCGGGUUCGGUCUCUUGGUGGUCUUUGGGGGACUCUGGGUACAACACAGAGUAGAUCCAUGGGUCCCAAGAUUGGGGAAAUUUGGGGAACAUGAAGUCAGGCCCUGAGAUGUAUCAUAAGAGAGGGAUGCAGGGGUCACUAGGCAUCCCCUGUGGAUGGCCUUAAGGUUCCACCCUUCUCCCUUCUCUGCAGUUCCCAGGUCAAGAGAGGCUGGCAGAUCUGUGCUGAUCCUAGCCAGUACUGGGCCCAGGAAUACAUCACUGACCUGGAACUGAACUCUGGAAGGGUCUGGAGGGAGCAAGGAAGUGUAACAUCUGUGGGCCGAAUGAGGAGGAGAUGCUCGAUUCUGCAGUUCUGAAGGUCACCUCCUCUGUGGUCCCACCCUACAGCUUACCCACACUCUGGGUCCCUCCUUGACUUUAAUCUUGUCUCUUCUCAGAUACCCCCUGCGAAUCAAUGAGUGUGAUUGGCCUUCUGAGGGAGAUAUCGAACCACGCAUAUCAAGCAACACAUGACUAUUGAAUAGCUUGACUUGGUGCUACGUUUAACACACUGAAGGCGCUUUAAUAAAAUGUCAGCAAGA